UAUCUCUGUAGAGUCUGCAUAUCAAUAAGCGGAGGAAAAGAAACUAACUAGGAUUCCCUCAGUAACGGCGAGUGAAGCGGGAAGAGCUCAAAUUUGAAAUCUUCAAGGUUUUACCUUGACGAAUUGUAGUUUAAAGAAGUGUUUUCUGUUGGAGUUUUGGUAAAAGUUCUUUGGAAUAGGACAUCAUAGAGGGUGAGAAUCCCGUAUUUGACCAUUAUUUCCAGCUUUGUGAUACACUUUCAAAGAGUCGGAUUGUUUGGGAAUGCAGUCCAAAGUGGGUGGUAAAUUUCAUCUAAGGCUAAAUAUUGGCGAGAGACCGAUAGCGAACAAGUACCGUGAGGGAAAGAUGAAAAGAACUUUGAAAAGAGAGUUAAACAGUACGUGAAAUUGUCAAAAGGGAAGCGUUUGACACCAGUGUUGUUUCUACGAAAAUCAAUUUAUGAUGGCUUGAUGCUAAGCUUUAAGACUUUAUCCGCUUGUUGUUUAGUUUUCUUGUCUUUGUGAAUGCACUUUUCGUGGAACAAGUCAACAUCAAUUUCUUUUGCUGUAAAAGGGUAAGAGGAAGGUGGCUUCGGCUUCGGUUGAAGUGUUUAUAGCCUUUUAUCUCUGCAGUCGGAGAGAUUGAGGUCUGCUAGCGUAGACUCUUCGGGGUUAGAUACGUCGGUGCUAAGCUAUAGCUUUUCAUAGACAACUUGUUGACUAUGUUUAGUCAUGUGGCCUACCCGCUGGCGCUAUUUUACCUACGCUUAGGAUGUUGAGUCAUCACACAUCUCU
rnacentral:rRNA from 1 species